UAGUAGUGGCGAGCGAACGCGGAACAGCCCAAACCAUUUUAGUUACGGCUAGAGUGGGGUUGUAGGACCACGAUAUCUUAACAAAAUUGAACGAGAAUUACCUGGGAAGGUAAGCCAAAGAAGGUGAAAGCCCUGUAUUGGUAAGAUUUUGAGCGGUAGUGGUAUCCUGAGUAGGGCGGGGCAGGUGAAACCCCGUUUGAAUCUGC
rnacentral:rRNA from 9 species